CCUGCCCGGGCCGGCGCCGCAGAGCCAUUGGGCGCCCCGCACACCCCCGCCGCGCGGUCCAAUCCCGUGGCCACUGGCUGUCGUGGGGGCUGAGCCUUUGCGACGCGCCUGGUCCACCUAAGGCACGAGUCCACACCCGCGAGACGUCCAGAACUGGCAAAGACACGAGACUUAGAAAACGGUACAAAAAGUUCCCAUGUGCUCUUCACUCAAGCUUCCCCAAAUGUUGACAUCUUACGUAACCAUAGUACAAUGAUCCAAACAAGAAGAGGAAAUCUGGACACACAAAGAGGCACCAGGGGCACAACAUGGAAAGACCGUGUGAGGACACAGCGACAAGGCAGCCAUCUGCAUGCCAAGGAGCGAGGCCUCAGAAUGAAACCAGCCCAGCAGACACCCUGAUCUUGGACUUCUAGCCUCUAGAACUGUGAGAAAAUACAUUUCUAUUGUUUGAGCCAUCCCAUUGGUGGCCCCAGCAAACUAAUAUAUCCAUUCUCUUUGAUUCUUAGGAAUCUGCCGAUUUCUACGUUCUUCUACCCUUUCUAUCUGCCCAUUUGCCAAUAUGGGCUGGGACCUCCAGCCCUCUCCUCUCCUUGUCCUUGUUGCUGGUCCCAAGUAAAUCCUUCCACCAGAUUUCUCUCAGUUAUAUUUCUCCCAAGCUCCUUGCUCAGCAAAACAUCUCUUUCUUUGCUUAUUACUUAUAUCUCCCUUGUAUUAUUUUCCCAUUGCUGCUGUAACAAAUUAACAUGGAUUUAAUGACUUAAAACAACACAAGUUGUUUGUCUUAGAGUUUUGGAGGUCAGAAGUCUAAAAUGAGUCUGCAGGGCUGGAGGUCCCAGAGGAGAAUCCACUUCCUUGCCUUUUCCAGCUUCUAGCCUCCCCCUGCUUUCCUUGGCUGUGGCCUCCACCUUCAAGGUCAGCAGCAUGGCAUCUUCCAGUCUCUCUCUCUGUUGUUUUAUUGUCACAUAGCCUUUUCUGACCCUGACCCUCCUACUUCACGCUUAGAAGGACCCUUGUGAUUAUAUUAAGCUUGCCUGGAUAAUCCAGACACUCUCCCCAUCUCAAGAUCAUUACAUUAGUCACAUCUAUAAAAUCCAUUUUGCCAGGAAAAGCAGCAUAUUCCCAGAGAUUGAGACAUGAACAUCUUUGGGGGGACCAUUAUUCAUCCUACUAUAUCCCUCUUUAUCAUGUCUUCCUUCUCUGAGACCACUGGUCUCACCUAACAGCAAUUGACCAUCUUAGCUGAAAUCAAACUACCCAUUUAUCAACACAUACAGAUCAGGACUAUCUGUCCCAGCAAAUGGGUUCAUUCAUUCAUUCAAUUAAUAAAUAUUCAUUGAGCACCAUUAUGUGUCAGGCACUGAACUAUAUAUGCUGUAUGUGGAAAGGAUUUGUAUUUGCAAUGCCUUCCAAAAAAAAAAAAAUCCAAUUCCUGCCUAAAUUAGAGAAAAUGCUUAUGGUCUAUAAAAAAAGAGCAAAGUUUUCCUAAUGAUUCAUACACAAUUCCCUUAACCAAAUGUAUUAGAGAGAAAAUAGAGCAAAGUUGGGUUCCUAGAAAAAAAAAUCUUUCGGUCUAUGAAAAAAGGAAAGUUUCCCCCAAUGAUUUCUACACAAUUCUUUUAACCAAAUUUGUUAGACAGAAAAAUAGAGCAAACUUGGGUUCCUGGAAAAGGAACGUUGGAGCCACAAAAUGAGGUAGGAGAGGGAUUAGGGCUGCCAGAUAAAAUGCAGGAUGUUCAGUCAACUUAGAAUUUCAGAUAAACAAUGAAUGACUUUUUUAGUUUAAGUGUGCCCCACGCAAUACUGGGGGCAUAUCUAUACUGUAAAAUUUUUCAUCCUUCACCUAAAAUUCAAAGUUAACUGGGCACCCCGUAUUUUUUCCAAAUUUAUUUUACUAAAUCUGGCAACCCCAAAGGGAGGGAACUGAUGUUUACUGAGUGCCUCUUGCAUAUGUCAGUUCUCCACGUUAACUCAUUAUUCCUUGCAGAAACCCGAAGAGUAAGAGAUUGGUAACAAUCUGUAGAGACAUUUAUCCUCCGAAAUCCAUGGUGGUCUUUAUCAAGCAGCUUGACGGAUUUACUUAAUGGGAACUGAAAGAAGAAAAAAUGAAUACUUAGAAGGUUUAUUAGCAUUGCACAUGUAUUGCUGUAUCCUCAACUCUUCUUAAAAGCAAUCAAAACGUCAGUAGCUGAAGACAAUCCAUCACUCAAGCAAGUGCUAAAGACACGCAUGGUCUUCACAUGAGAGGAGUUGCUCUAAGAUAAAUUGAUUCAUUACAUUGAUGCUGCAUCAUCUGUAGAAGCUGUGACUCAGAGCCCUCCAGCAAUAAUGAGGCCACAUAUUCGUGUGGUAUUAAUAUCCCUGCACACCAGGGGAUGACUGGAGAGCACAGGGCUGUGUUACAAGAUGAAGGGGGAGCUCUGUUAAGAACUUGUUCAGCAGGGAGUAAGCACUGGUGUGGGAGCUGAGCUUCAAUUUACAACUAAGGAUCACAUUAAAAAGACAUUAAGAUGAUUACAAUGGAGCUUAUUGUAGCUGUUAAUAUUUAUCAUUAUUUCAUUUUGUUUUAAUGAAUGGGGGCUUAAUAAGAACCACCAAGUGGGCCACAGCAUCUGAAAUCUAACUUUUGCUAAUCCUGAAAUUUUUACUAACAGAAAAGAUUUCUACUAUGGGCUGGGCGCAGUGGCUCAUGCCUGUAAUCCUAGCACUCUGGGAGGCUGAG